rnacentral:misc_RNA from 1 species
AUGAUUGGCCUAACGGCCUUAUCAAUGUUAAUCCCAACACCUCUGUGAACCGUUUUGUCGGCCCUCGGGCUGAUCUUUUCACAAUGCAAACACUGUGUAACGAACGUCUUGUUAUCUUAACAAAACA